rnacentral:rRNA from 1 species
AUUGAACGCUGGCGGCAGGCCUAACACAUGCAAGUCGAGCGGAUGAAGGGAGCUUGCUCCUGGAUUCAGCGGCGGACGGGUGAGUGAUGCCUAGGAAUCUGCCUGGUAGUGGGGGAUAACGUCCGGAAACGGGCGCUAAUACCGCAUACGUCCUGAGGGAGAACGUGGGGGAUCUUCGGACCUCACGCUAUCAGAUGAGCCUAGGUCGGAUUAGCUAGUUGGUGGGGUAAAGGCCUACCAAGGCGACGAUCCGUAACUGGUCUGAGAGGAUGAUCAGUCACACUGGAACUGAGACACGGUCCAGACUCCUACGGGAGGCAGCAGUGGGGAAUAUUGGACAAUGGGCGAAAGCCUGAUCCAGCCAUGCCGCGUGUGUGAAGAAGGUCUUCGGAUUGUAAAGCACUUUAAGUUGGGAGGAAGGGCAGUAAGUUAAUUCCUUGCUGUUUUGACGUUACCAACAGAAUAAGCACCGGCUAACUUCGUG